CUGACGAGUCCCAAACAGGACGAAACGCGCGUC
rnacentral:hammerhead_ribozyme from 1 species